rnacentral:rRNA from 1 species
UUGACCUCGGAUCAGGUAGGGAUACCCGCUGAACUUAAGCUUCCCAAUUAAGCGGAA